rnacentral:rRNA from 1 species
AUGUUCUGUAUUUCUUCAUGGCCUUGUUGCUCAGCUAGAGCUCUUGGGGUCCAGCCAUUGCUGUCCUGCUUGUCAAUGUCUGCUCCGUGUCUUAGUAACAGCUCAACCAUCUCAACAUUCCCAUCGCAGACAGCACGGUGUAGCGGAAUGUUUCCGUCCUUGGAUGGCCUGUUUACAUCGAUGACAUGUUUGAGUAUUUGCUUGAGCAGUUCUAUAUUAUUUUGCUCGACUGCGGUGCAAGCAUAUAAGCUUGUAUCCCCCGAUGAUAGUUCUGCACCGCCCUUGACUAACAGCUGCACAACCGUAUCAUGUUUCGCAUACACAGCCUCCCAUAGCGGAACCUUUCCUUCCGAAUCUGGAUAUUGGAAGAAUUAA